ensembl:lncRNA
UUUAAGUGUGUAUUUAUGUCUUGUAUUGCUGGUAAGUAACUUUCUUGCACUGAGGUCUGUUUGUUGCAAAUAUCUUUGAUCUGUUUUUUUGUCUUAUAAUGUUUAUGUGUGUAUUUAUGUCUUGUAAUGUUUAUGUGUGUAUUUAUGUCUUAUAAUGUUUAUGUGUGUAUUUAUGUCUUGUAAUGUUUAUGUGUUUAAUUAUGUCUUGUAUUGCUGGUGAGUAACUUCCUUACACUGAGGUCUGGUUAUUGCAAAUAUCUUUGACUUGUUUUUAUGUCUUAUAAUGUUUAUGUGUGUAUUUAUGUCUUGUAUUGCUGGUAAGUAACUUUCUUGCACUGAGGUCUGUUUAUUGCAAAUAUCUUUGACUUGUUUUUAUGUCUUAUAAUGUUUAUGUGUGUAUUUAUGUCUUGUAUUGCUGGUAAGUAACUUUCUUGCACUGAGGUCUGUUUAUUGCAAAUAUCUUUGACUUGUUUUUAUGUCUUAUAAUGUUUAUGUGUGUAUUUAUGUCUUAUAAUGUUUAUGUGUGUAUUUAUGUCUUAUAAUGUUUAUGUGUGUAUUUAUGUCUUGUAUUGCUGGUAAGUAACUUUCUUGCACUGAGGUCUGUUUAUUGCAAAUAUCUUUGACUUGUUUUUAUGUCUUAUAAUGUUUAUAUGUGUAUUUAUGUCUUAUAUUGCUGGUAAGUAACUUUCUUGCACUGAGGUCUGUUCAUUGCAAAUAUCUUUGACCUGUUUUUAUGUCUUAUAAUGUUUAUAUGUGUAUUUAUGUCUUAUAUUGCUGGUAAGUAACUUUCUUGCACUGAGGUCUGUUUAUUGCAAAUAUCUUUGACUUGUUUUUAUGUCUUAUAAUGUUUAUGUGUGUAUUUAUGUCUUGUAUUGCUGGUAAGUAACUUUCUUGCACUGAGGUCUGUUUAUUGCAAAUAUCUUUGACUUGUUUUUAUGUCUUAUAAUGUUUAUGUGUGUAUGUAUGUCUUAUAAUGUUUAUGUGUGUAUUUAUGUCUUGUAUUGCUGGUAAGUAACUUUCUUGCACUGAGGUCUGUUUAUUGCAAAUAUCUUUGAUCUGUUUUUUUGUCUUAUAAUGUUUAUGUGUGUAUGUAUGUCUUAUAAUGUUUAUGUGUGUAUUUAUGUCUUGUAUUGCUGGUAAGUAACUUUCUUGCACUGAGGUCUGUUUAUUGCAAAUAUCUUUGACUUGUUUUUUUGUCUUAUAAUGUUUAUGUGUGUAUUUAUGUCUUAUAAUGUUUAUGUGUGUAUUUAUGUCUUGUAAUGUUUAUGUGUGUAUUUAUGUCUUGUAUUGCUGGUAAGUAACUUUCUUGCACUGAGGUCUGUUUAUUGCAAAUAUCUUUGACUUGUUUUUAUGUCUUUUAAUGUUUAUUUGUGCAAUUAUGUCUUGUAUUGCUGGUAAGUAACUUUCUUGCACUUUAUUUUGCUGUGGAAAAUUUAACAAUAACCUGCAACACAACCAGUGAGCUUGAUUUGAAUUGAGUUUAAUAAAC